rnacentral:rRNA from 1 species
GUGCCAGCAGCCGCGGUAAUACGUAGGCAGCGAGCGUUGUUCGGAGUUACUGGGCGUAAAGCGUGCGUAGGCGGUGGCCCAAGUCUGGUGUGAAAUCUCCCGGCUUAACUGGGAGGGUGCGCCGGAAACUGGGUUGCUGGAGUACCGGAGAGGCAAGCGGAAUUCCUGGUGUAGCGGUGAAAUGCGUAGAUAUCAGGAGGAACACCCGUGGUGUAGACGGCUUGCUGGACGGUCACUGACGCUGAGGCACGAAAGCGUGGGGAGCAAACAGGAUUAGAUACCCCCGUAGUCC